AUUGAACGCUGGCGGCAGGCCUAACACAUGCAAGUCGAACGAGUGGCGGAGGGGUGAGUAAUGUCUGAGAAACUGCCUGAUGUAGGGGGAUAACUACUGGAAACGGUAGCAACUACCGCUAACCAUCGGAUGUGCCCAGAUGGGAUUAGCUAGUCGGGGGGGUAAAGGCUCACGUAGGCGACGCUCCCUAGCUGGUCGGAGAGGAUGACCGGCCACCCUGGAACUGAGACACGGCCCAGACUCCUACGGGAGGCAGCAGGGGGGAAUAUUGGACAAUGGGCGAAAGCCUGACGCAGCAACGCCGCGUGUAUGAAGAAGGUUUUCGGGUUGUAAAGUACUGUCGGUGGGGAGGCGUUAUCUGCACAAGAAGCACCGGCUAACUCCGUGCCAGCCGCCGCGGUAAUUC
rnacentral:rRNA from 1 species